rnacentral:rRNA from 1 species
GAUGAACGCUGGCGGCGUGCUUAACACAUGCAAGUCGAACGAACCUUCGGGUUAGUGGCGGACGGGUGAGUAACGCGUGAGAAUCUGCCCUCAGGAGGGGGACAACGGCUGGAAACGGCUGCUAAUACCCCAUAUGCCGCGAGGUGAAAUGAAUUUCGCCUGAGGAUGAGCUCGCGUCUGAUUAGCUAGUUGGUGUAGGUAAUGGCUCACCAAGGCAUCGAUCAGUAGCUGGUCUGAGAGGAUGAUCAGCCACACUGGGACUGAGACACGGCCCAGACUCCUACGGGAGGCAGCAGUGGGGAAUUUUCCGCAAUGGGCGAAAGCCUGACGGAGCAACGCCGCGUGAGGGAUGAAGGCCUCUGGGCUGUAAACCUCUUUUAUCAAGGAAGAAGAUCUGACGGUACUUGAUGAAUAAGCCACGGCUAAUUCCGUG